rnacentral:tRNA from 1 species
GCUUUCGUGGUGUAACGGUUAGCACACUCGGCUCAAACUCUAGAGGUCCAGGUUCAAGUCCCGGCGAAGGCA